UACGUAGGGUGCAAGCGUUAAUCGGAAUUACUGGGCGUAAAGCGUGCGCAGGCGGUUUUGUAAGUCUGUCGUGAAAUCCCCGGGCUCAACCUGGGAAUUGCGAUGGAAACUGCAAGGCUAGAAUCUGGCAGAGGGGGGUAGAAUUCCACGUGUGAGCAGUGAAAUGCGUAGAGAUGUGGAGGAACACCGAUGGCGAAGGCAGCCCCCUGGGUCAAGAUUGACGCUCAUGCACGAAAGCGUGGGGAGCAAACAGG
rnacentral:rRNA from 1 species